rnacentral:lncRNA from 1 species
CUGUCUUUAUCAAAAUAGCUUGUGUGCAGAUGAAGACAUAAUAGCCAUAAGAGAAGAUGGUUCCUCUUGGUUUUUAUUAUUUUCUUCCUUUAUUUUUGGGAUGUAGGGAAGGAGAGGGGGAUGGGGGUUAUUGUUUCUUUUUCCUCAAGGAACACAUGAAGGAUCUUUUGGCGAGAAACAACAUCAAACCCAGUAUAAUUUCACUAGUGAGUCUGGGAACGGUAGUGUGUAUGCAAACCUUACCCAUAUUUUAAGAAGAUAGACAUGUUGUUUCCGAUAGACCUCGGCUCAAACAAAGAUGAAAAAAAUAGUAACAACAAGAAGUAACAACAUCAAUAUAAUAAAAAAUUGAAGCAAAAGAUAUUGCAUGUAGUAAUAGAAAUAUCUUUUUUUUUACAAGUAAACAAAAGUGAUACUCCUUUUGGUCCAUCAUAAGUGACCUUUUAGCCUUUGGAACACCCCUUAAGAAAAUAUUUACUCCUAAAAAAAGUGUGAUUUCUGAGCUUCAACUCCAAGCUCGAAGCUCUGAUACCAUAUUGAAGUUUUGUGAUUAAUCACCAGUAGAAACCCUAGUUGCGAGGGAGAAUAGAAAGAAAAAGGAGUUAUCUGAGAAAGAGAAUAAAUGACACAGUAAAAAUUAUAUUCACCACAUACUAUACAUCUCUUACACUUACACAUAUAUACACGUGUGACUAACCACUAUUGUAACAAACUAACCAACUAAGUACUUUAUUAAACUCACUUACUUUCUAACUAAUCAAUCAUAUAUGAAUAGGCUAAACUACUCUCAUAAUAAGGCCAUUCCUUUCUCCUUAACAUGUUUAGAUUUUACGCACCUCUUGGUUGAACAUGUAUGUAGCAAAACUAGUAAAUGAAUUAAGUAGUCACCUAGUCAUUUGGUUGGUUUGCAUAAACAAAUAUAAUAAGAUUAGUAUAAAAUAACGCAUAAGUAAGAUAAUGUGUAAUUAAUUAUUUGAAUUUGAAAAACUAGUGUCUGCAUAACUGAUGGUAGGGGUGUGCAUUCGAUCGAUUCGGUUCGGUUUCAUGAAAUCAGGUUCGAUUAUUCAGUUUUCGGUUUUGUAAAUAUUGAAAUCGAAAUCGAACUGAAAUAAGUUCGAUUUAGUUCAGUUUAUUUUGGGUCGGUUUUCGGUUUGAAAAAAAAGUGACUAGCAACCUCACACUGUGACACUGAUAGGAUACAUUUACCAAAUUUUUGAAGAUGAAAACCCGAUAUUGAUGCGGAUUUAUGGAUUUAGAUAUUCCAGUCUUGUCAUAGUAAAGCAUUUUCCUACCUGGAGACGAAUUAGAUUAAACAAAUUUUUCUUUUUUAUUUUAGGAAGAUCCGCCAACUUUGAUUUGGAAGUAAUUACUGUUUCACUUGCCACAAUUAAUAUUACUAAUAUAUGAAACAAAAAUUGUACAAGAAUUGCCAGUGGUAAGUGAUGACUCGGUGGAAAGAAGAUAGAAAGACAAAUCAAAUUAUCUAAUAUCAUGUUGCAACGCAAAACAAAGAUAAAACCACCUUAUUGUGUCAAAAUAACGAGAUAAUAAAACCACCUCACUGUCUCCAGAACCAUAACUUGCUCCGAAACACUCCCUCCGAUGAUGAAACCAACAGAUGUUACCGCCGCCCGCCGAUAGAGAGAUUGAGAGCGAGAGACGAGAGGGAGAAGAGUGAAGACUGAGAGCGACUGCGACUCUAUGAUAGGGAGAAGUCAGAAGAGUAGUAGACUUAAGGUAUUU